GAAUAUGAAGCAACUUUGCAAUUAGUUUCGACCUAAUAUUAUGGUAUUAACUUACCCUUAUUCU
rnacentral:tRNA from 1 species